AUGCAAGCUCCGAGCUUCAUCGCAGCCAUCUUUGUUUGUCUCGAGGAAAGUUUUGGCGUUCGACGUCUGACCGAGGGAAACUAGUACGAGACAGACAGAGUGCGUCCAAAUCGAAGCUGGAAAGGCAACGCAUAGACUACUAAUGGACGAUGGGGGAAGGGGACGUGAGAUUUUGUUUCCAAGAUGGUGGCGGCUUAUUCCACAGGAAACCCAAAUCGACGCGAUGACUUAAGUCAGUGUUAGUAAAUAGAGUUAUAUUCUAUGUGCAUAGCUACAGGAGGACAACACAGGGUGUAUAUGCUCGGUUUUGACCACUGAAUGUUAUGGUGUGCCAGACUGUGAGCCGUCUUGAAAGUUAAGAAAGCAUAAAGAGAAGCAAUACGAACAAACUAAAAAGGUGACUUUGCAUGGAGUUUGGAUGCCCUGGCCUCCCCCAUACUACAGCAAGGUUUGCAUGUUCCUGAUUUUUGUAUCAGUUUGUGCAUUUAUGUUUAUCAGAGGCAUUCAAGCUGAAGAGAAAUAGCAUAAAUGUCAAUUCACCGUAAAAAAUUGAUUGAUAUCUGUUACUGUUUAUUGUUGGGGAGUAUUGCCAUGUUUAUAUAUUACAGUUCACCUUGCCAUGACAACCAAAAA